rnacentral:lncRNA from 1 species
AAGGAAGGCAUAAUUGAUUUGUUCCAAGAAUGCAGGAGGAAAGUCUCCCUAAACACAGCAUUCAUUCAAUGAAAUUCAGGACAAACACUAUACUAUGCAUGAAGAUCACCACCUGGAGAUCUAAACUCUUCAUUCCAGACGUUGUAUUUGAAAAUGGAACUAGAGAAAAGUGUGGUUUAUUCAUUUUGUUAUUUUCUGUGGUGCUUGCACUGCUGUUUUGAAAGCCCACCGUAGGAGAGCUCAAUUAAGAGCCUUCAUAAUUUUCACCAGUUAACUUUGAUUAAAUAGGCUGUCUUGGAAGGGAAUGCAGUAAAUUUAGGCUAUAAAUUACCUACAGUGAGUUUUCAACUUUGGAAUUCUGAAAUAUUAGUGCUCGGACAGGCCAUUUCUUUCAG